rnacentral:lncRNA from 1 species
GUUUUGAAAGCGUAGCGAAACGGGAAUAUAUGUAACGAAGCGUAUCGAAACGUAGUGAUCCUUUGUCCAAAACGGGACAUGCCCCGUACGUUUUGAAAAUUCAACAACAAACGUAGCGAAAAUUGAAACGAAGUAGAAACCUAGUACAGUAAAUACGUAUCAAAGCUUAGCAGAACGUAACAAAACGUACUUACUACGUAUCGAAACGUAUCAAUGCGUGGUGGAAACGUGGGUCUACACGUACUUAUUCGUAGCAAAACGUGAUAAAAACGUAGC